AACAGUGACGUUGAGACACACCUUCACUCACGCGCUUGGCGCUAGUUGCCAUGGAAGGUCAUCAAGUGCAAAACCGGCUGAGGCAGGCAACGACACCCUUCGCAGAGACAUUAAACCUGCCGGUAGAACCGGUGGGUACGGAAUGAAAUACGGACCCCUGCGGUUCAACAGACAACGAUUAGGAAACCGUGCACUAUGUUUUUACAGCAGGAAGAGUGAGAGAGUGAUUAAGUCUGUCAGAUUCAGUAUGUCUGCAUGGGUGCAGCAGGAGGCUGGUACAGCCAGUUCUGCUGAAGCCAAGAAAUCAGAGCCCAGAGGCCAGGAGAAGAAAUGCUCAUGGGCGUCUUACAUGACAAACUCUCCCACCGUGAUUGUCAUGAUUGGCCUCCCUGCCAGAGGCAAGACGUAUAUGUCAAAGAAACUCACACGCUACCUCAACUGGAUAGGAGUUCCAACAAAGGUGUUUAACCUGGGGGUGUACCGGAGGGAAGCAGUUAAAGCCUACAAGUCUUAUGACUUCUUCAGACAUGACAAUGAGAAAGCCAUGAAGAUACGAAAACAGUGUGCCUUGGUGGCCUUGGAAGAUGUAAAGACCUACCUUAAUGAGGAAGGUGGACAAAUAGCCGUAUUUGAUGCCACAAACACAACCCGGGAGAGGCGGGAUCUUAUAUUAAAUUUUGUACAGGAGAAUGCAUACAAGGUGUUUUUUGUGGAGUCGGUAUGUGAUGAUCCAGAGGUUAUUGCAGCUAACAUCCUGGAGGUCAAGGUUUCAAGUCCAGAUUAUCCAGAGACACACAGAGAGCGAGUCAUGGAUGAUUUCCUGAAACGCAUAGAAUGUUAUAAAGUCACUUACCAGCCAUUAGAUCCUGAUGAAUAUGACAAAGAUUUGUCCUUCAUUAAGGUGAUCAACGUGGGUCGUCGGUUUCUGGUGAACCGUGUUCAGGACUACAUCCAGAGCAAGAUCGUCUACUACCUCAUGAACAUCCACGUGCACUCGCACUCCAUCUACCUGUGCAGGCACGGAGAGAGCGAACACAACAUCCAGGGCCGCAUUGGAGGAGAUUCUGAACUCUCCCCCCGAGGGAGACAGUUUGCAAGCGCCCUGCGUGAGUUCAUUGAGGAGCAUAAACUGUCUGACUUGAAGGUUUGGACCAGCCAGUUAAGGAGAACCAUCCAGACAGCUGAAGAGCUGGGAGUUCCGUAUGAACAGUGGAAAAUCCUCAAUGAGAUAGAUGCUGGUGUAUGUGAAGAGAUGACCUACGAAAUGAUCCAGAACACAUUCCCAGAAGAGUUUGCCUUAAGGGAUCAGGAUAAAUACCACUACAGAUACCCAGGAGGAGAGUCGUAUCAGGACCUGGUUCAGCGACUAGAGCCUGUGAUUAUGGAGCUUGAGAGACAAGGCAAUGUACUAGUCAUCUGCCACCAGGCAGUUAUGCGCUGCCUACUAGCCUAUUUCUUGGACAAGAGUGGAGAUGAUCUGCCCUAUUUGAAAUGCCCCCUUCAUACUGUCAUGAAGCUCACUCCUGUUGCUUAUGGCUGCAAAGUGGAGAUGUUUUAUCUGAAUGUGGAGGCAGUGAAUACACAUCGGGACCGACCACUGGGGAAAAUCAGACGAGACUCCGCCCCUCUGCUCAGGCGGAAUAGUUAUACCCCCCUCUCCAGUCAUGACCAGGUUAAGCGGCCCCGCCUCUACAGCGCUGGCAACAGGCCCUGGCUGCCCCUCACCCCCUCCCCCACCACCCUGCACUACCCCGGCUCGCCAGACGGGGCGCUGCUGCUUCAGCAAAGCCAAGUUAGUGUCAGACUCGAUUGACCCAGUGAUGCCCUGACACUAACCCACCCUCACCCUGGUGUUCUGAAUCACCCCUGAUUGUCACACCCAGCACUAAUUGUGCUAACUGCAUGAGUGAUUUCAGUUUGGCAGUCUCAUUCUUUUUUUUCUUUGGCGCAUGUUUUUUGCUAACUCUUUUUUCAGUUUGGGAUUCUUUUUUGUUGUUCUGUAUGGGUGCUCACCACAUAUCAUACAAUAAUCAUAACUUACCAGCUAACAGUAACCGGCUAACUAAUUGGCAUUAUCUUACUUAACUUUAUAACAAUAACAUCUAAUUGUUUUACUUUCUAUGAAGUAUUUUUUUCUCUAUAAUACCAGAUCAAAAUCAGUGAAUUAUUUUCUCGUUGCCAGUUUGUUUCACGUGCAACCCAAAAUUAACAUUUUGUCAUCAUUUACUCAACCUCAUGGUUGUUUCAAAGUUGCAUGAUGUACAUCCUUCCAUGGAACAUAAAAGGAAAAACAUAUCUGCUCUUUUCCAUACAAUGACAGUGAAUAGUGACCAAAAAUGGUUAGUAAAAUUUGGAAUAGUUCACCCAAUGAACUUGAAAAUUUGCUCAUCCAAGAUGUAGAUAGUGUGGAGAGAAAUAUGCACAGAUCAACCUGACCCUUUUCACCAUUAGCUUUCAUAUAGAAACUAGCGGCAUAACAUCUCCUUUUGUGUUCUGCAGAAGAACAAAAGUCAUAUGGUUUGGAGUGACAUGAGGUCUCAUGUGGUUGGCAGUCAUCUGACUCCUUGUGUGAAGGAAUCAACUUUGACUGCCCAGACGAAGCUAAUGACUGUUUCCGCUUCUGAAUGAAAUGGUGAUGAUGCCUUAUUGAAGACUGACCAGAGGAGAUCCUCUCCAUGAACUGAAUGUGAUCUGUUAUAUUUUGGACACGAUGUGGGUUGUGCAAAUGAUGAUAACCUCAGUACAGAGUUUGUGUUGCAAUACAGUGUUGUUUGCAACAAUGCAUUUUCACAAUCAACUAUUACAACACAGACUGUAGUCAGUCAUCAGAAUGAAGAAAAGCUUCUUUCAGGGAAUCAGUGGGACAGAGAUUAGAGGAACAGUUUAUAUAUUAUAACAAGUAGGUUUGUGCACAUUGUGGCUUAAAAGGAAUGCACUUAAUGAGAAAUUUUUAAUGACAAUGAAAUUGUUUUUUUUUGUUUUGUUUUGUUUUGUUUUUUUUGUCUUGCACAUUUUCUUAACAAGAAUGAUAGUCCUAUGGGAUAUUGUACAGAGUUCAAGCUCGUGAUGUAAUAUUUUUAUAGAAAUGUAUUUGUGUGCCACAUCAGGACAAAAUGACAAGGAUUUGUAGGUUGCCGUAUUUAAAUGAGGUAUAUUUUAUAGGUCAGGUUACUGCUGGAGAUGCUACAAAUAUAAUUGUUUUAUUAAGGUUUUGAAUGUAGUCUGUACUCUUUAAGCAAGAAAUGUUUUUUCUGGUUAUGUGUUUGUUAAAAAACUGGAGGAGCUGCACUACUCAAACACAAUUCACAUCUCAAUCAACAGCAUGUCAAUGCCAAUGACACUGCAUAAAACAGUUAAAUAAUGCGCCCUAUGACUAAUUUAUGGUUGAAUGUUUAAAGAAAAAAAUCUCUCAAGUUCUGUAUCUGUCCACUUAUUCUUUCCAUUUUUUUAAACAUUUUUAAUCAUGUUUUGCCUCACUACUUCAUUUUAAAUGAAGGUGUGACAUUCAUUUUUAAAAGUGCAAAUAUUCCAUGUACUCUCUGAAUUAAAUGCUUCAUGCGUAGUACUAAAUUAUAAAUAAAUUAGCAAAAUGCUGCAGUACUUGUUCAUUCAGUCCUUCUGCAUAAAAUGAAGUUUUCACCACAAUCAAUUGAGAUAUCCAAGCAUGCAUUGCCUUUAAAUAGUGACUAGUGUGAUGGCACAGUACAUACUGCACACAAUCUGACUUUGAACUGACAGCAAUGACACAGAAUAGAAAAUAUAUGAUUCAUUAACAGACCUUGGAAAACUGUCUGCAAUGUUUUGCAACAAUUAAACAUCUGUUAUGUCA